CACCACCCCAUCUCUGACCAUGAGGCCACCCUGAGGUGCUGGGCCCUGGGCUUCUACCCUGCGGAGAUCACGCUGACCUGGCAGCGGGACGGGGAGGAACAGACCCAGGACACAGAGCUUGUGGAGACCAGGCCUGCAGGGGAUGGAAACUUCCAGAAGUGGGCUGCUGUGGUGGUGCCUUCUGGAGAGGAACAGAGAUACACGUGCCAUGUGCAGCACGAGGGGCUGCCCCAGCCCCUCACCCUGAGAUGGGAGCAGUCUCCCCAGCCCACCAUCCCCAUCGUGGGCAUCGUUGCUGGCCUUGUUGUCCUUGGAGCUGUGGUCACUGGAGCUGUGGUCGCUGCUGUGAUGUGGAGGAAGAAGAGCUCAGGUAGGGAAGGGGUGAGGAGUGGAGUCUGAGUUUUCUUGUCCCACUGGGGGUUGCAAGCCCCAAGUAGAAGUGUGCCCUGCCUCAUUACUGGGAAGCACCAUCCACACUCAUGGGUCUACCCAGCCUGAGCCCUGUGUGCCAGCACCUACUCGUUUGUAAAGCUCCUGUGAAAAUGAAGGACAGAUUCUUCACUUCGAUGAUUAUGGUGGUGAUGGGACCUGAUCCCAGCAGUCACAAAUCACAGGGGAAGGUCCCUGCUGAUGACAGACCUCAGGAGGGCAGUUGGUCCAGGACCCACAUCUGCUUUUUCAUAUUUCUUGAUCCUGCCCUGGAUCUACAGUUACACUUUUCUGGAAACUUCUCUGGGAUCAAAGACUAGGGGUUUGCUCUAGGACCUUAUGGCCCUGCCUCCUUUCUGGCCUCUCACAGGACAUUUUCUUCCUAUAGAUAGAAACAGAGGGAGCUACUCUCAGGCUGCAGGUAAGAUGAAGGAGGCUGAUCCCUGAGAUUGUUGGGAUAUUGUAGUCAGGAGCCUAUGAGGGAGCUCACCCACCCCACAGUUCCUCUAGCCACAUCUGUGGGCUCUGACCAGGUCCUGUUUUUGUUCUACCCCAAUCACUGACAGUGCCCAGGGCUCUCGGGUGUCUCUCACAGCUAAUAAAGGUGACACUCCAGGGCAGGGGCCCUGAUGUGAGUGGGGUGUUGGGGGGGAACAGAGGGGACUCAGCUGUGCUAUUGGGUUUCUUUGACUUGGAUGUCUUGAGCAUGAAAUGGGCUAUUUAAAGUGUUACCUCUCACUGUGACUGAUACGAAUUUGUUCAUGAAUAUUUUCUCUAUAGUGUGAGACAGCUUCCUUGUGUGGGACUGAGAAGCAAGAUAUCAAUGUAGCAGAAUUGCACUUGUGCCUCACGAACAUACAUAAAUUUUAAAAAUAAAGAAUAAAAAUAUAUCUUUUUAUAGAUACAGGUAGAUAUGUUUUUAUA
rnacentral:lncRNA from 1 species